rnacentral:rRNA from 1 species
GAUGAACGCUGGCGGCGUGCUUAACACAUGCAAGUCGAACGGAAAGGCCAGUGCUUGCCCUGGUACUCGAGUGGCGAACGGGUGAGUAACACGUGGGUGAUCUGCCCUGCACUUCGGGAUAAGCCUGGGAAACUGGGUCUAAUACCGGAUAGGACAAUGGUUUGGAUGCCGUUGUGGAAAGUUUUUUCGGUGUGGGAUGAGCUCGCGGCCUAUCAGCUUGUUGGUGGGGUAAUGGCCUACCAAGGCGUCGACGGGUAGCCGGCCUGAGAGGGUGUACGGCCACAUUGGGACUGAGAUACGGCCCAGACUCCUACGGGAGGCAGCAGUGGGGAAUAUUGCACAAUGGGCGCAAGCCUGAGGCAGCGACGCCGCGUGGGGGAUGACGGCCUUCGGGUUGUAAACUCCUUUCGCUAGGGACGAAGCGUAUUUGUGACGGUACCUGGAGAAGAAGCACCGGCUAACUACGUG